rnacentral:rRNA from 1 species
GAUGAACGCUGGCGGCGUGCCUAAUACAUGCAAGUCGAGCGAAGCGGGGACGGGUGAGUAACACGUGGAUAACCUCCUAUAAGACUGGGAUAACUUAGGGAAACCGGAGCUAAACCGGAUAAUUAUAGAUGGCUCCGCGCUGGAUUAGCUAGUUGGUAAGGGAACGGCUUACCAAGGCAACGAUGCAUAGCCGACCUGAGAGGAUGAUCAGCCACACUGGAACUGAGACACGGUCCAGACUCCUACGGGAGGCAGCAGUAGGGAAUCUUCCACAAUGGGCGAAAGCCUGACGGAGCAACGCCGCGUGAGUGAAGAAGGUCUUCGGGUCGUAAAGCUCUGUUAUUGGGGAAGCGUUACCUAAUGAGAAAGCCACGGCUAACUACGUGCCAGCAGCCGCGGUAAUUC